CUUGGUAAUUUGAGCGAAGUAGACCGACCCGAUCCCUUUCCGAACUCGGAAGUCAAAUGCUUCAGCGUUGACGAUAGUUGCGGGGCAACCUGCCGCGAAAAUAGAUCAUUGCCAGGC
rnacentral:rRNA from 1 species